rnacentral:rRNA from 1 species
UUAAGCGACUAAGCGUACACGGUGGAUGCCCUGGCAGUCAGAGGCGAUGAAGGACGUGCUAAUCUGCGAUAAGCGUCGGUAAGGUGAUAUGAACCGUUAUAACCGGCGAUUUCCGAAUGGGGAAACCCAGUGUGUUUCGACACACUAUCAUUAACUGAAUCCAUAGGUUAAUGAGGCGAACCGGGGAACUGAAACAUCUAAGUACCCCGAGGAAAAGAAAUCAACCGAGAUUCCCCCAGUAGCGGCGAGCGAACGGGGAGCAGCCCAGAGCCUGAAUCAGUGUGUGUGUUAGUGGAAGCGUCUGGAAAGGCGCGCGAUACAGGGUGACAGCCCCGUACACAAAAAUGCACAUGCUGUGAGCUCGAUGAGUAGGGCGGGACACGUGGUAUCCUGUCUGAAUAUGGGGGGACCAUCCUCCAAGGCUAAAUACUCCUGACUGACCGAUAGUGAACCAGUACCGUGAGGGAAAGGCGAAAAGAACCCCGGCGAGGGGAGUGAAAAAGAACCUGAAACCGUGUACGUACAAGCAGUGGGAGCCUCUUUAUGGGGUGACUGCGUACCUUUUGUAUAAUGGGUCAGCGACUUAUAUUCUGUAGCAAGGUUAACCGAAUAGGGGAGCCGAAGGGAAACCGAGUCUUAACUGGGCGUUAAGUUGCAGGGUAUAGACCCGAAACCCGGUGAUCUAGCCAUGGGCAGGUUGAAGGUUGGGUAACACUAACUGGAGGACCGAACCGACUAAUGUUGAAAAAUUAGCGGAUGACUUGUGGCUGGGGGUGAAAGGCCAAUCAAACCGGGAGAUAGCUGGUUCUCCCGAAAGCUAUUUAGGUAGCGCCUCGUGAAUUCAUCUCCGGGGGUAGAGCACUGUUUCGGCAAGGGGGUCAUCCCGACUUACCAACCCGAUGCAAACUGCGAAUACCGGAGAAUGUUAUCACGGGAGACACACGGCGGGUGCUAACGUCCGUCGUGAAGAGGGAAACAACCCAGACCGCCAGCUAAGGUCCCAAAGUCAUGGUUAAGUGGGAAACGAUGUGGGAAGGCCCAGACAGCCAGGAUGUUGGCUUAGAAGCAGCCAUCAUUUAAAGAAAGCGUAAUAGCUCACUGGUCGAGUCGGCCUGCGCGGAAGAUGUAACGGGGCUAAACCAUGCACCGAAGCUGCGGCAGCGACGCUUAUGCGUUGUUGGGUAGGGGAGCGUUCUGUAAGCCUGUGAAGGUGUGCUGUGAGGCAUGCUGGAGGUAUCAGAAGUGCGAAUGCUGACAUAAGUAACGAUAAAGCGGGUGAAAAGCCGCUCGCCGGAAGACCAAGGGUUCCUGUCCAACGUUAAUCGGGCAGGGUGAGUCGACCCCUAAGGCGAGGCCGAAAGGCGUAGUCGAUGGGAAACAGGUUAAUAUUCCUGUACUUGGUGUUACUGCGAAGGGGGGACGGAGAAGGCUAUGUUGGCCGGGCGACGGUUGUCCCGGUUUAAGCGUGUAGGCUGAUUUUCCAGGCAAAUCCGGAAAAUCAAGGCUGAGGCGUGAUGACGAGGCACUACGGUGCUGAAGCAACAAAUGCCCUGCUUCCAGGAAAAGCCUCUAAGCAUCAGGUAACAUCAAAUCGUACCCCAAACCGACACAGGUGGUCAGGUAGAGAAUACCAAGGCGCUUGAGAGAACUCGGGUGAAGGAACUAGGCAAAAUGGUGCCGUAACUUCGGGAGAAGGCACGCUGAUAUGUAGGUGAAGUCCCUCGCGGAUGGAGCUGAAAUCAGUCGAAGAUACCAGCUGGCUGCAACUGUUUAUUAAAAACACAGCACUGUGCAAACACGAAAGUGGACGUAUACGGUGUGACGCCUGCCCGGUGCCGGAAGGUUAAUUGAUGGGGUCAGCGCAAGCGAAGCUCUUGAUCGAAGCCCCGGUAAACGGCGGCCGUAACUAUAACGGUCCUAAGGUAGCGAAAUUCCUUGUCGGGUAAGUUCCGACCUGCACGAAUGGCGUAAUGAUGGCCAGGCUGUCUCCACCCGAGACUCAGUGAAAUUGAACUCGCUGUGAAGAUGCAGUGUACCCGCGGCAAGACGGAAAGACCCGUGAACCUUUACUAUAGCUUGACACUGAACAUUGAGCCUUGAUGUGUAGGAUAGGUGGGAGGCUUAGAAGUGUGGACGCCAGUCUGCAUGGAGCCGGCCUUGAAAUACCACCCUUUAAUGUUUGAUGUUCUAACGUGGACCCGUAAUCCGGGUUGCGGACAGUGUCUGGUGGGUAGUUUGACUGGGGCGGUCUCCUCCUAAAGAGUAACGGAGGAGCACGAAGGUUGGCUAAUCCUGGUCGGACAUCAGGAGGUUAGUGCAAUGGCAUAAGCCAGCUUGACUGCGAGCGUGACGGCGCGAGCAGGUGCGAAAGCAGGUCAUAGUGAUCCGGUGGUUCUGAAUGGAAGGGCCAUCGCUCAACGGAUAAAAGGUACUCCGGGGAUAACAGGCUGAUACCGCCCAAGAGUUCAUAUCGACGGCGGUGUUUGGCACCUCGAUGUCGGCUCAUCACAUCCUGGGGCUGAAGUAGGUCCCAAGGGUAUGGCUGUUCGCCAUUUAAAGUGGUACGCGAGCUGGGUUUAGAACGUCGUGAGACAGUUCGGUCCCUAUCUGCCGUGGGCGCUGGAGAACUGAGGGGGGCUGCUCCUAGUACGAGAGGACCGGAGUGGACGCAUCACUGGUGUUCGGGUUGUCAUGCCAAUGGCACUGCCCGGUAGCUAAAUGCGGAAGAGAUAAGUGCUGAAAGCAUCUAAGCACGAAACUUGCCCCGAGAUGAGUUCUCCCUGACUCCUUGAGAGUCCUGAAGGAACGUUGAAGACGACGACGUUGAUAGGCCGGGUGUGUAAGCGCAGCGAUGCGUUGAGCUAACCGGUACUAAUGAACCGUGAGGCUUAACCUU